rnacentral:misc_RNA from 1 species
GAAAUGCGAUAAGUAGUGUGAAUUGCAGAAUUCAGUGAAUCAUCGAAUCUUUGAACGCACAUUGCGCCCUAUGGUAUUCCGUAGGGCAUGCCCGUUCGAGCGUCAUUUACACCUUCAAGCCUUGCUUGGUGUUGGGUGACUGUGGCCCCUUUGGGGCCACUCGCCUUAAAGUCAUUGGCGGCCGGUUCGUUGGCUUUGUAGCGCAGCACAAUUGCGUCCUCGAAGCCGCUGGACCAGCUCCCAGAAGCUAAUUUUAAAUGUUUGACCUCGAAUCAGGUAGGGAUACCCGCUGAACUUAAGC